GGUGAAUGGACCAGUUGGCUGCCUGGCUGGUUGCUAUCCAGGACGUGGGGAAGUUCCAUGGUGGUGUGGAUACGACAAAGUGCUGCACCAGUGCAUGCUCUCAGUCUUUACUUGACUUGACACUCAGAUGCG